AGAACGAACGCUGGCGGCAGGCUUAACACAUGCAAGUCGAGCGCCCCGCAAGGGGGAGCGGCAGACGGGUGAGUAACGCGUGGGAAUCUACCCAUCUCUACGGAAUAACGCAUGGAAACGUGUGCUAAUACCGUAUACGUCCUUCGGGAGAAAGAUUAUCGGAGAUGGAUGAGCCCGCGUUGGAUUAGCUAGUUGGUGGGGUAAAGGCCUACCAAGGCGACGAUCCAUAGCUGGUCUGAGAGGAUGAUCAGCCACACUGGGACUGAGACACGGCCCAGACUCCUACGGGAGGCAGCAGUGGGGAAUAUUGGACAAUGGGCGCAAGCCUGAUCCAGCCAUGCCGCGUGAGUGAUGAAGGCCCGUAGGGUUGUAAGCUUACUUUCACCGGUGAAGAUAAUGACGGUAACGGAGAAGAACGCCCGGACUAACGUUCGUGCCAGCCAGCCGGAC
rnacentral:rRNA from 1 species